rnacentral:rRNA from 1 species
UUGAACGCUGGCGGCAUGCCUUACACAUGCAAGUCGAACGGCAGCACGGGAGCAAUCCUGGUGGCGAGUGGCGAACGGGUGAGUAAUAUAUCGGAACGUGCCCAGUCGUGGGGGAUAACGUAGCGAAAGCUACGCUAAUACCGCAUACGAUCUACGGAUGAAAGCGGGGGAUCGCAAGACCUCGCGCGAUUGGAGCGGCCGAUAUCAGAUUAGCUAGUUGGUGGGGUAAAAGCUCACCAAGGCGACGAUCUGUAGCUGGUCUGAGAGGACGACCAGCCACACUGGAACUGAGACACGGUCCAGACUCCUACGGGAGGCAGCAGUGAGGAAUCUUGCGCAAUGGGGGAAACCCUGACGCAGCAACGCCGCGUGAGUGAGGAAGGCCUUCGGGUCGUAAAGCUCUGUCAGAUGGGAAGAAAUGGAUGGGGGCUAAUAUCGCCCAUCCUUGACGGUACCAUCAGAGGAAGCACCGGCUAACUCCGUG